AGUACUAAUUAAGUGGGAAACGAAGUGGGAAGGCUUAGACAGCUAGGAUGUUGGCUUAGAAGCAGCCAUCAUUUAAAGAAAGCGUAAUAGCUCACUAGUCGAGUCGGCCUGCGCGGAAGAUGUAACGGGGCUAAAAUUAGUCACCGAAGCUGCGGCAUCAGGCGUAUCACUAAUACGCCUUACGAUUAACAACUUGCGAAACGAAGAGAAGCAAGUUGGUCAAGCGCCAAACACGUUGAGACGGAAGUCAUGACGGGAAGUGCGGUUGGGAAUUGAGGAAUAUUAGUGAUACGCCUGUUGGGUAGGGGAGCGUUGUGUAAGCGGAAGAAGGUGUAUUGAGAGGUAUGCUGGACGUAUCACAAGUGCGAAUGCUGACAUAAGUAACGAUAAAACGGGUGAAAAACCCGUUCGCCGGAAGACCAAGGGUUCCUGUCCAACGUUAAUCGGGGCAGGGUGAGUCGGCCCCUAAGGCGAGGCUGAAAAGCGUAGUCGAUGGGAAACGGGUUAAUAUUCCCGUACUUGGUAAAGCUGCGAUGUGGGGACGGAGCAGGUUAGGUUAGCGUGCUGUUGGAUAUGCACGUUUAAGUUGGUAGGUGGGGAGCUUAGGCAAAUCCGGGUUCCUGUUAACACUGAGAGAUGAUGACGAGGCCUUAAGGGGCUGAAGUAACUGAUACCAUACUUCCAGGAAAAGCCACUAAGCGAAAGGCUUUACUAAACCGUACUGAAAACCGACACAGGUGGUCAGGUAGAGAAUACUCAGGCGCUUGAGAGAACUCGGGUGAAGGAACUAGGCAAAAUAGCACCGUAACUUCGGGAGAAGGUGCGCCGGCGUAGAUUGUAAGGGCUUGCCCCUGAAGGUUGAACCGGUCGAAGAUACCAGCUGGCUGCAACUGUUUAUUAAAAACACAGCACUCUGCAAACACGAAAGUGGAGGUAUAGGGUGUGAUGCCUGCCCGGUGCUGGAAGGUUAAUUGAUGGUGUAAUCGCAAGAGAAGCACCUGAUCGAAGCCCCAGUAAACGGCGGCCGUAACUAUAACGGUCCUAAGGUAGCGAAAUUCCUUGUCGGGUAAGUUCCGACCUGCACGAAUGGCAUAAUGAUGGCCAGGCUGUCUCCACCCGAGACUCAGUGAAAUUGAAAUCGCCGUGAAGAUGCGGUGUACCCGCGGCUAGACGGAAAGACCCCGUGAACCUUUACUAUAGCUUGACACUGAACAUUGAAUUUUGAUGUGUAGGAUAGGUGGGAGACUGAGAAGCGAGCACGCUAGUGCUUGUGGAGUCGACGUUGAAAUACCACCCUUUAACGUUUGAUGUUCUAACGAGGCAUCGAUUACAGGUGUUCGGACAGUGUCUGGUGGGUAGUUUGACUGGGGCGGUCUCCUCCCAAAGGAUAACGGAGGAGCACGAAGGUUUGCUAAUCACGGUCGGACAUCGUGAGGUUAGUGCAAUGGUAUAAGCAAGCUUAACUGCGAGACGGACAGGUCGGGCAGGUACGAAAGUAGGUCAUAGUGAUCCGGUGGUUCUGCAUGGAAGGGCCAUCGCUCAACGGAUAAAAGGUACUCCGGGGAUAACAGGCUGAUACCGCCCAAGAGUUCAUAUCGACGGCGGUGUUUGGCACCUCGAUGUCGGCUCAUCACAUCCUGGGGCUGAAGUAGGUCCCAAGGGUAUGGCUGUUCGCCAUUUAAAGUGGUACGCGAGCUGGGUUUAGAACGUCGUGAGACAGUUCGGUCCCUAUCUGCCGUGGGCGUAGGAGAAUUGAUUGGGGCUGCUCCUAGUACGAGAGGACCGGAGUGGACGCACCGCUGGUGUUCCGGUUGUGUCGCCAGACGCAUAGCCGGGUAGCUAAGUGCGGGAGAGAUAAGUGCUGAAAGCAUCUAAGCACGAAACUUGCCAAGAGAUGAGUUCUCCCAGACUUUAGGUCUGUAAGGGUUGUUUAAGACGAAGACGUGGAUAGGCGUGGUGUGUAAGCGUAGUGAUAUGUUGAGCUAACACGUACUAAUUGCCCGAGGGACUUAGCCAUACAACGCUCAAG
rnacentral:rRNA from 1 species